ensembl:lncRNA
CAGGGCUUUUGAUAAUACUCUGGCUAAAGCGAUUUGUCUAUAAUUAUCCACGCUCCCCACCUUGCCGACUUUAUCCUUAAUGAGAGGUGCAAGAGUAACGGACAACAUCGAGUCUGGUGCAGAAAUGGUAUAGGUUCAAAGUGUCGGCACCAAGAAUGUGAGAAUUGAGAUUAUAGGGAUCAUAAAAGCCAGUCAGGAGGAGACUUACCUGGAGGCAGAGUUCAACAACCAGCCGCACAUGUUUGUUGUGGAUUCUCUACUUCUGGCAAAGACGUUUAACUUCAAACUGGAUAAAGAUUUUGAAGAAAGCCUUCUUAAAAUAAAUAAUAAAUAAAAUACCACUCUCAGCAGAUGCAGAAAUACAAGGAACCGUAUCGCUGAACUCAACUGUAUACAGCAGAAUUGAAAAGAUGGAUCCUGUAGAGCAAGAAGAGCAAUAUUCGUCCCUGGAAGCAGCUGAACCCUCCAAAAUCUUCAAGAUGUCAUCAAGGCUUUUAGAAAAAAGGUGGAAAAGAGCGCUGAGCUCCAUCCUGGAGAAGCUGACUGAGCGACAAUUUGCGAAGAUGCUUUUCAAUCUGGUCAAAAUCCCUGUAAAAUUGAACACUGGCAAAGCCAGAAGAUAUAUCUCUUAUUUAAUCUUCGAGCACUUCGGGACAGAAGGGUCCAUCUCUGAAAUAGAUAAAAUAAUGAAGAUGAUACCAGUAAAUGACGCUGCCAUCCAGAAGCUGCUGCGGCCCUUUGUGGAGGAACUGAAGAAACAACGGCAGGAGGAAAAAGGGACGACGAGCAAUCAUGCUUCUGGUCCAGGAUCAGUGACCAAGAAGCCCAAAACUUUUUUUGACUUGGUCCAAUUGGGGCAAUUCAACAACGGAAUGUCCCAGUAGAGGACAUCGACCCAGUAGAGGACAUCGACCCAGUAGAGGACAUCGACCCAGUAGAGGACAUUGACCAAACAGUAGGGUUGGGUACCGAACGUAAAAUCAAAUGGUGCCAAAUUUCGGUACUUUCACGUGCAUCAGGAGCAGUGAGCACCAGCUGAGGAUAUGCCUGAAGGGUUCUACGAGCUGAGCGGACUAAGUCCGCUAUGAGCCAUCAAAGCUAAUGCUUUGCUAGCAAGAUUCAAAGUCAAUAACAUUGUGUACAGUUGACAAUCAGUAAUAAUAAUUGUAAGUAUGUUUAACAUCAAGACAAGCCAGCUAUCCAGCCAUGUCAUUAGCCGCUUUACGACCGGAGGGAUUUUUGCAGUUCCUAGAACAUAACGUUCCUAGAACCCUUUUUUUCUCAUGUUCCGACUGGACCAAUUUGGGGAUUUUUAAGUUCCUCUGGCCACAGUUCCUGUAACUCUUUCAGCUCCUACUUCAGGGUAGGGUCUUUUCCCUUUUCCCUUUCCCGCAUGUGGUGGUUAGAUGGCUGUGUUAUAAUAACAAAAGGUCAGUUCCUAUGGCCACUUGGCAAGUGUGAAUGCAAAUGGAAAAAACUGUUUUGGGGAAGAGUAGAUAGUAGAACUGUUUAGAAGUGGACAAUAUAACGACACUAAAGGGGCACUAAAACUUACUUCUUGCAGCUUGUGUGUUAGCGCCAUCCUGUGGUGUUCAGAGGACAAGGCACUGAAGCACAACUCAGGGUUGGAAAUAACAGAUUCACAUUUCCUUUUUGUUUUAAUGCAGCGCAUUGAUUUAGAACAGUAAACAGUCAGUUUCACCGGAAAACUCCUUUAGUAGGUGUCCUAUAACACUUUUUUCAAAUUCUUUUUGGCUCUUACCUGAAAGAGUUGACAUUCUUAAAAAAGAAUUACACGAGAACUACUUAGUAGUAGUAGCAGUAGUUUGAUCAAUGUUUGAGCUUGACAGUGUUUUUUUUUAAAUGUUUACUGGCCAUUGUUCAUACGUUCAUAUUUUUAUAUUUUUAGGAGGGGGA